rnacentral:tRNA from 1 species
UGUCGGAUCGUCUAAUUGGUAGGACGACUGGUUCUGGUCCAGUUAAUCUAGGUUCGAGUCCUAGUCCGACAGCAA